CCUACGGGGGGCAGCAGUGGGGAAUAUUGGGCAAUGGGCGCAAGCCUGACCCAGCAACGCCGCGUGAAGGAAGAAGGCUUUCGGGUUGUAAACUUCUUUUCUGAGGGACGAAGAAAGUGACGGUACCUCAGGAAUAAGCCACGGCUAACUACGUGCCAGCAGCCGCGGGAAUACGUAGGUGGCAAGCGUUGUCCGGAUUUACUGGGUGUAAAGGGCGUGCAGCCGGAGAGACAAGUCAGAUGUGAAAUCCACGGGCUCAACCCGUGAACUGCAUUUGAAACUGGUUCCCUUGAGUGUCGGAGAGGUAAGCGGAAUUCCUGGUGUAGCGGUGAAAUGCGUAGAUAUAAGGAAGAACACCAGUGGCGAAGGCGGAUUACUGGACGAUAACUGACGGUGAGGCGCGAAAGCGUGGGGAGCAAACAGGAUUAGAUACCCGAGUAGUC
rnacentral:rRNA from 1 species